rnacentral:lncRNA from 1 species
AAGGUCUCUUGUAAGUACGAUAUGAAUAAUGUUUGAUUCUUUUAUGUUGUCUUUUUUUAGUUCUCUUUUUUGUGUGCUUGAUUAGAUUAGUUAUGUAAUUAAUUAUAACUCUAGUUGGACUGGGGCAAAUUAAAUUAAUUGAUUGUUAGAUUAUUAAUUAAUUAAUAUCAUGGUUAUAUCAUUGUGUGACAAGGGUUUGAUAAAUUACCGAAGCAUUUUUAUCCUAGUGACUAUAAUAUCCGAAAGCUUAGGUUGCGUUUCGAAAGGAAAGAAAUGGAAAAGAAUGGACACUAAUAAUUUUCCCUUUUCCAGGUUUCGUAUCUAGUUUUAAGAAGGAAAGUCAGUCAAAACUUAUUUUCUUUCUUGUUUUGAAAUUUUCUUUUCACAUUUUCACCUCUUAAUUUUAUCUAAAAUUAAAUAAAAAUAAUUUUUUUUUUUUUUACAAAAAACAAACAAAGAGAAAUAUAUAGUUUUCUCUAGAUUCUUCCUUUUAAUUCCUUUAUCUAGUUUCUCUUUCUUUUUCUUUACACAAUUUCCAAACACAGGCUUAAUCAUGGGAGAGAGAGGUUGCUAGGUUGUGUAAUUAGCAAAAUUUCAUGACACGUCUUAUUUGAUGUAAUUUGGAGAUUUAGUUUAUCAAUUACAAGCAUUCGGAAAGAUUUCAAGCAUUCAAAAAGGUUUUUAAGUAUAUUCAUACAAGAUCAUGCUAACAGAGACUUGUAAGAUACAUCGUGGAUGAUAAACGGGACUUCAAGGGAUUUCGAGAGAUGACAAUCAUUAGAUCAUAGAGUUGAUAGAUUUUAAUUGUAAGAGUCUUGUAAUCAUCUGAACAUCGAGUUAUAGUGCAUGAUCUUUGUCCAGAGAAGGGAACACGUGAUUUUUCUUUCAUUCAAGGGUUUCCACGGUAAAAAUCUUGUGUAUUUCUUGGUUAAUGGGUUUGUUUCUUUUUAUAUCUUGAAUCUUACAAUAUUGCACAAAGUCGUGAUAUUCAUUUAAUAUUGUAGUUUUUAGAUCAUUGGGUAAAACAUAGACAAAUGUUAGGUUUUCUAAAUGUCAAUUACACAAAUAGAUACACAGUAUUAUUAUACAUAGAGGGAGCAAUAGCCCACAAGUAGAAGUUUCAGUUUCACCACACCCAUAUUAUUAACAGAUGGAAAUAUAUAUUUAUUCUUGAGAGGUACACACUGAUCACACAUCUACUGCUCCAUACCAAGUAAGCCAGAUAAUGGCAUUUAUAUCUCCAUUAUAUCACUUGAGAUGGUGGGUCUCAAUGUCUUUUGUGAUCUCAAUACAGAGGUCCAUCAAUUUGUUUGGCUCUUCAACAUCUUCUUUCGGCUUUUCAUAGUGAAAGUUCCAUGUCACCGAGGUGUUUUCCCCUUUUGUGUCCACAUGAACAACAAUCAUAAAGGUCUUGUACAGAUCCAUAAGAUCUCCUUCAACAACCUUGAAUGUCACGGACUUGGUUUCUUCUUCAGUUCUUCUAUUGCUUCAACAAUUUCCUUAGCAGCCUUCUCCUUUCUAUCUGUGGUUUUCAUCACAUUAAAUGCAACUUCUUAAGUCAAGCUAGUCAAGGCGUAUCCACAAUUUUAAUUUUGGGGAGCUGAAUAUAUAUAUAAAACACAUAAUUUGUAAAUUACACAUGUAAUAUAUUGGACCUAGAAUUUCUCUCCUAGGUGCUUUCAAUUGCUUGUAAUAAAACAUAAUAUUUUUAUGUAAUUUUUAUAUAUUUUAUAUUUUGAGUAUUUGUCUGUGAAUCCAACCCUAUAGUUGUAAUUUAAAGAAAUUCUGAAACUACGAGGACAAAAGUGCAAUUUUGUACUAGAGGAGGUUAAGAAGACUAUAAAUACAUGAGGGAGGCAACCCUAAUUGGGAGUAAGAGCCAACAAUAUUGUUUAUCCAUGCUCUUUGUGUACUUGAGAGAUUUUUAGAGAAAUCAUUGAGCUUCAUCUUUUCUCUUAAGGUGUGUUUAUCAUAAACUCAUCAAAUCAAGAUUUAAAUCCUUUGGACAUACUCAAAGGCGGAUAGAUUUAAGUUCAAUUCAUAGAUGAUUGUUGAUGAUUCAAUACUCAACCAUUAACUGAAGCGUAGAUCGUGGACUCAGUCAGUACUAGGAUCACAUUCACAUGUUCGAGGAUUUGACACCUAAGGCGCGUGAAUUUAGUUAGAUUGAGUUUGUAAGUUAUAACUUAUAUUUUGCAUAGUGGAUUAGUUGAUCGUACUUAGUUCCAGAUUUUUUUUUCUACUUUGAGAUUUUGCACGUAAAAAAUUGCUUGUUUUUGUGUGUGCUUGAUUUUAUAUUUAUUUGAGGUUUUUAUUUGUUUGGUUAAAUAGCUUCGCAAAUUCAUAAAACGAAUAAAACUAUAUUUUUAAUUUUACAAUUGGUAUCAGAGCGGGUCACUCAAAAUAAAAUAUUUUUUUAUUUUUUUUCAGAGUAUGGUCUGAUUGAUUUGUUUCUAUGUAUAAAUUUGAUCGUAAGAAGCUUGACAAUAUUCAACAAGCCUAUGAUAACUUUGUAAGGAGUCUUAUGAGAAGAACAAAAUUUAUGAAAAAUGUAAUGCAAAAGUGGAAUCACUUAAGAAGUCUUAAGAGAUGAAUAUAAAUAAGAGCUAAUUGAAGCUCAAGCUACCGUGGGUGAAUUGAAUCGUAUAAUGCUACUUUGUCUAAAAAAAAAAUUAUUAUUGAAAAAGAGAAAAAAUAAAUAUUUGAUAAGUUGAAUUUACUUUUUGAAAAACAUUUAAAACCUGACAAAGAUAUGCAUUUGUGUCUUGAGUCAAAAGAUAAUCUUGAGGAAAAAGUGGGUAAAUUAGAAUUUGAUCUUAGUGCUUCUAAUGCUACUCUCGAGAAGUUUAAUGCAGAUUCAAAGGUUUUGGAUGAAAUUAUUUGCGUGCAAAAAUUUUCUUCUGACAAGAGAGGACUUGGAUAUGUUGAUAAGCCUUCAUCUUCUUCCAAAUCGGGGAACAUGGAUAUUUUUGUGAACCCUAAAAAAUGUGGUUCCAAUCUUUCCAAGGCCAACCAAACAAAGGGAUCUCCUAAGAAAACCGUCACAAAUGUAUAGGUAAAAUCAUCUAAUUUUAAUCUUGUUUGCCAUCAGUGUAGUGUCCAUGGUCAUAUUAGGCAUUUAUUGAUUUAAUGAUUGUUUUGAUGAUAUUUGAUGAUGUCAAGGUUUCAUCAUGUAUGGUCUUAAUAUUGAUAUAUGCACAAAAUGUAUAUAUAUAUAUAUAUAUAUAUAUAUAUUAUUUAUCAUAUUAAUACAUAUAUAUUAGAUUCAUGGUAUGAUUAUGCGUAUUCUACAUUAGUAUUUUUCAUUCUAUUAGUAUUAUACACCUUCAAAGUUCAGUCGAUCAAAAUUGCAACUGAAACAAAGUUUGAUUGACUGAAGUUGACUUUUGGUCGGCCGAACUUUCGACCAAAAUUUAAAAUUUUCAAUCCUAACAGUCCAAAUCAAGUUCCAACGGCCCAAAUUAAAUUCUAAUUACUCUAUUACUAUUUCAACAAGUAGAUUUGCUAAGAUGGCUAUAAAUACAACCCUUAACUAGAUGCAAAUUAUGAUGGGAUGAAAUAGGUUUGAUAGGAUUAAUGACCAAUUAAAAUUCUUGUUAAAACUUAUACUAGCAAUGCACUCUCAAUUUAAGCAAAUAUAUAUAAACAACUUAAAAGAGGGGAGAGAAAAUAGUGCAAACGAUUUAUAAUGGUUCAACAAAUCUCAGCCUACGUCCACUCUCCAAACUUCUCAUUGGAAAUUCAUUAUCUUCAAAUUUGUGAGUGCUUGAAAAUCUUUAUAAAUACUAGAACCUUUUAGUCGUCAAGAGAGUCCCUCUCUUAGGAAUUUUACAAUUACUUAUAGUGAUCCUUUCAACAAGAUACAAUAGUUGAAGUGAUUCUUACUUACCAACUCUAGAUCAAGGAUAAAUACAAUCAUAUCUAGAAUGAUCUUGCUCACUUUGAUUUUUGGCAAAUCAAACUCACAAUAAAUGAACAAAUGAUUGAAGUAUUGAAUACAAAUGUUAUUAGGAUUUUAUGGCACUUCAAUACCCUUCCAACAAACCCAAGGAUUGAAUUAUAAGCCAAAAGUUAAAUAGAGUCAUUGCAGCAUGUAAUGCAUCUGAUUAAGCCAUUCUGAUUGAAUCUCAGCCGUUGGAUCUUGAUUUGGACUGCAGGAUUAAAAUGUUCAAACUUCGGUUGACCAAACUUUAAUUAUGGUCGAAAUUGCACUGAGAUUUCAGAGAUUAACUUUUCUUGUUUACUGAAGGGUUGGGGAACUUCGGUCGAGGUUUUGUAACUUUCGAUCGAACGAAUGUCAACUUCGGUUGACAUUGCUCUACAAUUUCAGUAAGCUCUUUAAUCUCUAAUUUGGCUCUUAACUGAUUUCGAUUGAUCGAAUCUUAACUUUGAUCGACUGAACCUUACCUUUAGUUAAGGUUGUACUAAAUUUUCAAUGAGCUCUUGGUUCCUCUAUUUUCACUUCAGCUAUGCUUUCUUAACUUCGGUCGACCAAUUGUGGACUUUGGUUGUAGUUGCUUUGUGUCUCCAGUGAGCUAGUCUGUCAAUGGAUUGGGCUUCCAUUUCACUUUGGUUGAGGGCCUUAAGCUUUGGUCGAUCGAAAUUGUGACGGUAACAACUUUUGUGUUGUUUCUUUUAUAGUUCAAAAUCGUCAAUUAUCCAUUUUGAGUUUAAAUGUUAAUUUGACUCUUCUAUCACUUUCAUGUGUAUAAUUACAUUGAAUAUAACUUGUGAAGAGUUAUGAAUCUCACUUUAAACAUGUGUAGCCUUAACUUUAAUAGCACUAUUGUUUUUCUUCAAGGAUGUGAAUUAGUCGAUUUAGUUCUUUCCAUUCUAAGUCAUUUUAUCAAUCUGUGUUAUCUAGAAAGCAUUAUACUAGGGGGAUGAAAUAUGUUUGCUAAGAUUUGAUGGCCAAUUAAAAUUUUUUCUUAAUAACUUACUCAAAUAAUGAACUUCUAGAUUUAACAAGUAUAUAAGCAAUGUAAAAAGGAGAGAAGAGA